rnacentral:rRNA from 1 species
UAGCAUAAUCAUUAGUUCUUUAAUUGAGAACUGGCAUGAAAGGUCGGACAAGAGAAAAUCUGUCUCCAUUGUUAAAAUUAAAAUUGACUUUUAAGUGAAAAGGCUUAAAUACUUCAGGGGGACGAUAAGACCCUAUAAAACUUUAUAUAUGCAACAAUACAGUUGAAUUAAAGCAUAAAAACUUAUUCGAUAAAAUAUAUUUAGUCGGGGCGACUGAGGUAUAAUUUAUAGUAACUGAUUAAAAGCAAGACAAAUAAUAUUUGAUUAACUUUAAUUGAUCCUUUUUAAAGAUUAAAAGAUUAAGUUACUUUAGGGAUAACAGCGUAAUUUUUUCUAAGAGUCCAUAUCGAAGAAAAAGAUUGCGACCUC